rnacentral:rRNA from 1 species
AUUGAACGCUAGCGGGAUGCUUUACACAUGCAAGUCGAACGAGUGGCGGACGGGUGAGUAAUAUAUCGGAACGUGCCCAGUAGCGGGGGAUAACUACUCGAAAGAGUGGCUAAUACCGCACACUAUUGGAGCGACCGAUACCGGAUUAGCUAGUUGGGGGGGUAAAGGUUCACCAAGGCCACGAUCCGUAGCCGGUCUGAGAGGACGACCAGCCACACUGGGACGUAUACACGGCCCGUACUCCUACGGGAGGCAACAGUGAGGAAUUUUGGACAAUGGGGGAAGCCCUGAUGCAGCCGUCCCGCGUAUAUGAAAAGGCCUUCGGGUAGUAAAGUACUUUUGGCAGAGAAGCGGUAUCUGCAGAAUAUGCACCGGCUAACUACGUGCCAGCAGCCGCGGUAAUUC